UACGGAGGAUGCGAGCGUUAUCCGGAUUCAUUGGGUUUAAAGGGUGCGUAGGCGGGAUAUUAAGUCAGUGGUGAAAACUUCAUGCUCAACGUGAAGCUUGCCGAUGAUACUGAUAACCUUGAGUGUGAUUAAUGCCGGCGGAAUGCGACAAGUAGCGGUGAAAUGCUUAGAUAUGUCGCAGAACACCGAUAGCGAAGGCAGCUGGCAGAGUCACAACUGACGCUGAGGCACGAAAGCGUGGGGAUCGAACAGG
rnacentral:rRNA from 1 species